AUUAUCCUCAUGUCAGACGUGGAGGAAUAUUGAUUAUCACUCAUGACUUUGUUAAAAACAACGCACACAAUUUGAAUGAGGCACUCAAGUUAAAACUUCGCUCUCCUAAAAAGAAAUGGAACAUCAAACUAUGCUACUAUGAAAACGAAUCUGGAAGUGAAAGGAUUUGGUACUUAAGCAACAUUCAGCCAUUUCAAGAGUAUGUUCAGUUGUCUGCAAAUGACCACCUGCUGUUGCACAUCAUUACUAAAAAAGUCUUUCUUGCCACUGUGUACAAUGAAAAUGGAUCUGUUAAGGAUGUUGAAGUGCAGCGUCAAACUCUGAACAACGGUUAGAUAAAUCUAAUUAGAGUAUAUACUUCAAUUAUUGCAACAGUAACGAAAUAGUUCUCAUUUUCAUCUUGUCUCAGCUGCUGGACCAUCACAAUUGCCCUCCUCAGUAUCGAUCAAAACUGAGUUCGAAACUCCUCCUCAGUAUGUAUUCAAAUACAAAAAGGCGCAACAUUCGAGAUUGGCAUUGCGCAAGAACUUUGUUCUAGAAUCGUCUUUACAGGAUAAGCAAUUCAUCACAGUUCAGUACGAAGAUCAGAGGAAAAAGUGGAACAUGAAAUUGCUAAAGAGACGUCCAAGAAGCGUGAUUUACGAACUGGGUGGUACAUGGUCAAAGUUUGCUCGCACCAUCCCACUAAUGAAUGGUGUUGAGUAUAAAGUUAUCUUCGAUCACAAAAUGCAGGUUCUCAUUCUGCAGAAACAGAGG